AUUGAACGCUGGCGGCAGGCCUUACACAUGCAAGUCGAGCGAGCGGCGGACGGGUGAGCAAUGAAUCGGAAUGUGCCCGGUAGAGGGGGAUAAUUACCGGAAACGAAUGCUAAUACCGCAUACUAUCAGAUGAGCCGCUGUGGGAUGAGCUUGUUGGUGGGGUAAACGCCCACCAGGGCGACGAUCCGUAGCUGGUCUGAGAGGAUGAUCCGCCACACUGGGACUGAGACACGGCCCAGACUCCUACGGGAGGCAGCAGUGGGGAAUAUUGCACAAUGGGCGCAAGCCUGAUGCAGCCAUGCCGCGUGUAUGAAGAAGGCCUUCGGGUUGUAAAGUACUUUCAGCGGGGAGGCGUUACCCGCAGAAGAAGCACCGGCUAACUCCGUGCCAGCAGCCGCGGUAAUAC
rnacentral:rRNA from 1 species